UGAAUCUUGUCGGAGUGCCCAGAGGUGAGCGUUUACGUUCGCCGCGGGCUGAGACCGUUAAUUCGGGAUCCGCGGAACCUGAUCAGGUUAAAACCUGCGAAGGGAACAAGAGUAAUGCCUCA
rnacentral:ncRNA from 2 species